rnacentral:lncRNA from 1 species
AAUGUAUGCCUACAUGAAACUUAGUGCUUCUGUGAGCCUCAGGUGUUUGUGCUUAGCACUACAGUGUGCAGACACAGAGCAUUAUGCAACGUAAGCAGUUGCUCUCUGAAAAAGAAGCAAUUGAUGUAUCCAAAAGAGACCUUGCAUUUAAUUAACAUAUGCUGGUCAAGCCAUACAUCAACUUGAGAAAUCAAUACAGCCUGCAGGAUAAGAUGCUAGUGCUGUGCUUAAGCUAGCAAGAAAAAUUGGGCUUCAUCUUAAAGCUGUUGAUGGUGUGUUCCUAGGCUGAUGUAAGUAAAUGUGGCAAACUGUUAUGCUCUUACUCUGCAGAACCUGAUUCCAUCAUUUUCCAGCUGUAAGGCUUUGGGAAAUGAGCUGCUAACAGGUGUGAAUGGAUUAAAACUGAGGAGCUGCUGGUUGAGCUAUAGGAGGAGGAGUGGUGAGGGAUGGCUUGCUGCUGAAUGGGAUAUGUUGGGUGCUGGGGAUUGCUAAGGAUGGGUGUCUGUACAGGGACAGGAGCUGGUCUGCUGAGAAACCUGGCGAGAAGCAUCACUUAUGGAUGCUGUACUACAGAGGAAGGCUUUGACACUUCUGCUCUACUUUGGCCUUGGAGACUUCUGACACAGCCCAAUUUCCUGAGCAAAGGCCUGUUUGCAGGGCUUUGGCAGGGUUUGAAAGGCAUUGCUUCUGCUCCUGUGUUGCAGGUUCAGCCUGGAUUUCAAGAGGAUGCAAUAGGAUUCGUGCUUUCCUGAAGGGAAAGUGACAGGUGCCACGUUUGAGUGUGCAAGUCUGUAACUGUCUCAUGGCAUUCCAGUAUUACCCCAAGAUGAUGAUUGUACUAAUUAAGAACUGAAGUGAAAGAAUGUGAAAAGGAUGCAGUGUGGGGUGAUUUCUAAUAAAACUGAACUACUUUAGCA